AAUUUGGGUCUUCCUGUACAAAAAAUAACUGCAUUCACAGGACAAAAAGUAUUGUAUAGGCCUACUGCCAUUUUUCUGAAGUACAUUUCAGUGUCCAAAAAUUUCUAUUUCUGCAGUAAAUGCAACACUACGCAGUGCCCAACCAAACCAGCAUAGGUGAGUUGGUGGUGUGUUUGUGUGUGUGUUUUAUCCCUCUCUCUCUCUGUCCUGCUGCAAAGUGCUGGAGUAUCUGAGCUACAUCUCUGAAACUGAGCACUCAUACAGAGGUGCUACUGAGUACUACACAAAGGCCUAGAGGUACAGCUACAAGGUCAACCCCAGCAUAGUCCAGCUGUAAAGCGGUGGAGUACCCGAGCUACAUCUCUGAGAGUGAGCACUCAUACAGAUACACUACUGAGUAUUACGCAGAGGCCUGGAGGUACAGCUACAAGGCCAACCCCAACAGAAUCCACCAGCAGAAUCCACCCAACCAUAGGUGAGUGAGUAUACGGUCAACCCAGGUAUAGGUGAGUGACAGUCCACCCCAGCAAAGGUGAGUUAGCGUGCACCACGGCGUAGGUGUGUUAGAAUCUACCCCACCAGAGGUGAGUGAGUGCAGUGUCAACUCCACCAUAGGUGAGUUACAGUCCAUCCCAGCAUAGGCUGAUGUGUGUGUGUGUGUGUCUGUGUGUCUCUGUCUG